UACGGAGGAUCCAAGCGUUAUCCGGAAUCAUUGGGUUUAAAGGGUCCGUAGGCGGUUUAAUAAGUCAGUGGUGAAAGCCCAUCGCUCAACGGUGGAACGGCCAUUGAUACUGUUAAAACUUGAAUUAUUAGGAAGUAACUAGAAUAUGUAGUGUAGCGGUGAAAUGCUUAGAGAUUACAUGGAAUACCAAUUGCGAAGGCAGGUUACUACUAAUGGAUUGACGCUGAUGGACGAAAGCGUGGGUAGCGAACAGG
rnacentral:rRNA from 1 species